rnacentral:rRNA from 1 species
CCCUAGUAACUGCGAGUGAAGCGGGAAAAGCUCAAAUUUAAAAGCUGACGGUCUUUGGCCGUCCGCAUUGUAAUCUAGAGAAGUGUUACCCGCGUUGGACCGUGUACAAGUCUCCUGGAAUGGAGCGUCAUAGAGGGUGACAAUCCCGUCUUUGACACGGACUCCCAAGGCUUUGUGGUGCGCUCUCAAAGAGUCGAGUUGUUUGGGAAUGCAGCUCAAAAUGGGUGGUAAAUUCCAUCUAAAGCUAAAUAUUGGCGAGAGACCGAUAGCGAACAAGUACCGUGAGGGAAAGAUGAAAAGAACUUUGGAAAGAGAGUUAAACAGUACGUGAAAUUGCUGAAAGGGAAACGCUUGAAGUCAGUCACGUCGUCCGGAGAUCAACCUUGCUUUUGCUGGGCGUACUCUCCGGUUGACGGGCCAGCAUCAGUUUUGGCCACUGGAAAAGGGCGGAGGGAAUGUGGCAUCUUCGGAUGUGUUAUAGCCCUCCGUCGUAUACAGUGGCUGGGACUGAAGAACUCAGACMGCCGCAAGGGCCGGAUUUAUCCACGUUCGUGCUUAAGAUGCUGGCAUAAUGGCUUUAUCGACCCGUCUUGAAACACGGACCAAGGAGUCUAACAUGCCUGCGAGUGUUUGGGUGGAAAACCCGAGCGCGUAAUGAAAGUGAAAGUUGAA